GACGAACGCUGGCGGCGUGCUUAACACAUGCAAGUCGAACGGUAAGGCCCUUUCGGGGGUACACGAGUGGCGAACGGGUGCGUAACACGUGGGUGAUCUUCCCUGCCCUUUGGGAUAAGCCUGGGAAACUGGGUCUAAUACCGGAUAGGACUACGCGAUGCAUGUCGUGUGGUGGAAAGCUUUUGCGGUGUGGGAUGGGCCCGCGGCCUAUCAGCUUGUUGGUGGGGUGAUGGCCUACCAAGGCGACGACGGGUAGCCGGCCUGGGAGGGUGUCCGGCCACACGGGGACUGAGGUACGGACCAGACUCCUACGGGAGGCAGUGGUGGGGAAUAUUGCCCAAUGGGCGCAAGCCUGAUGCAGCGACGCCGCGUGGGGGAUGACGGCCUGCGGGUUGUAAACCCCUUUCAGCACAGACGAAGCGUAAGUGACGGUAUGUGCAGAAGAAGCACCGGCCAACUACGUG
rnacentral:rRNA from 1 species